AAAAAACUUUCGAAAUUCACGUCCUAAAGAAGUUUAUACUCUUCUACUUGAGAUUUGAAUUCGUCUAAGAUCAAUGCAUGUUACGAGAGACAUUUGUCGUAUGUAUUCAACCUGCUAAACAAAUGACAAUAGCAAGCUGACUCCAGAAGUUGCUUGGUCCUGAAUGCAUAUCCCAACAUUUAAUCCUGCUCCGAGAUGUCCAUUGUUCAACUCUCAAGUCUUUCAAAAAAGUAGAGGUAUCCCAUAUCCAUAGGGGGGUUUUUUGAGACCCCAACUUUUUCAUCGUUGAAAAUCACCCACCGGCCAUCUUUGUUAAUAUGAGCGACAUAAUGGCCACAGUGGGUAGAUGUGCCUAUGUGGCUCACGAAUCCCAGGAGCCUGUAU
rnacentral:misc_RNA from 1 species